rnacentral:rRNA from 1 species
UGGGGAAUAUUGCACAAUGGGCGCAAGCCUGAUGCAGCCAUGCCGCGUGUAUGAAGAAGGCCUUCGGGUUGUAAAGUACUUUCAGUCGGGAGGAAGGUGUCAAGGUUAAUAACCUUGGCAAUUGACGUUACCGACAGAAGAAGCACCGGCUAACUCCGUGCCAGCAGCCGCGGUAAUACGGAGGGUGCAAGCGUUAAUCGGAAUUACUGGGCGUAAAGCGCACGCAGGCGGUUGAUUGAGUCAGAUGUGAAAUCCCCGGGCUUAACCCGGGAAUUGCAUCUGAUACUGGUCAGCUAGAGUCUUGUAGAGGGGGGUAGAAUUCCAUGUGUAGCGGUGAAAUGCGUAGAGAUGUGGAGGAAUACCGGUGGCGAAGGCGGCCCCCUGGACAAAGACUGACGCUCAGGUGCGAAAGCGUGGGAAGCAAACAGG